rnacentral:lncRNA from 1 species
CCCUCGUUAUAUAGGUGGGCGCCUAAUUGGUAAAGCCAUGAAAUGUAUUCCCUUGUUAUACAGGUGGGCGCCUAAUUGGUAAAGACAUGAAAUAUAUUCCCUUGUUAUACAGGUGGGCGCCUAAUUGGUAAAGACAUGAAAUGUAUUCCCUUAUUAUACAGGUGGGCGCCUAAUUGGUAAAGACAUGAAAUGUAUUCUCUUGUUAUACAGGUGGGCGCCUAAUUGGUAAAGACAUGAAAUGUAUUCCCUUGUUAUACAGGUGGGCGCCUAAUUGGUAAAGACAUGAAAUGUAUUCCCUUGUUAUACAGGUGGGCGCAUAAUUGGUAAAGACAUGAAAUGUAUUCCCUUGUUAUACAGGUUGGCGCCUAAUUGGUAAAGACAUGAAAUGUAUUCCCUUGUUAUACAUGUGGGCGCCUAAUUGGAAAAGACAUGAAAUGUAUUCCCUUGUUAUACAGGUGGGCGCCUAAUUGGUAAAGACAUGAAAUGUAUUCUCUUGU